GCAGGUGUAGUACAGCGGUUAGUAUACAAGUUUUCCAAACUUGAAACGAGAGUUCGACUCUCUCCACCUGCACCA
rnacentral:tRNA from 1 species